AAACCAUGGUGUGGGUAUCGUCUCAAGAGAUCCUUAAACCUCUUAUGAGCUUCAAAUAGCAUUUUUGAGUGAUCUUGUUGGAAAGAAGAUAUUUCCUGUCUUAGUCG